rnacentral:lncRNA from 1 species
GGGGGGGGGGGGAGGUGGCAAUGGGCAAAUAGUAGCUAGAGGUACAAAAUAAGAGACUCAUGAAGUGAACAGCUUUACCAUGAUGAACAUCAUUUGUCACAGGUGAAAAGAAACAACUUUAACAUAAGUGAGAAUAGGGCAUUGUUCUGACACAGGCAAAAUGUCUAUGCAGUCAUAGUGGCAUGCCAGUGUUGGUAUAUCGUAUUUUACAAGAAGACGGCAAUUUUUUAAUAACAAUUCACCCUCUGUUUUAAAUUACUAUGAAAGAAAUGUGGAAAUAGUAUUAAGGUUUUGUGUGUUGUCAGGAUUCCUUCAAGAAUUAAUGGAUUGGUUACUUCAAUGUGUCUGAGUUAAGAGUUCAUCCUUUUUUAGUCAGUGAUAAAACCCACCAUGAUUAUCUGAAUCGUAAUGUUAUAAUUCUGACUUUGUGUUCAUUUCUGUUCUAAUAAAUGUGUUUAUGUAUAAAGUGUCACUCACAUUUUAUUAAAGUAAUUUUGACAUCCAUGAUAAAACUGUUACCUAACAUUUGCGUAUUCUGAUAGUCCCCGUUUCUUCCCCUUUCUUUAAAUUUUUUUGUCAGCCACACACAUGUACCUGGCAAAAAACUUUCACACUUUUUAGCUAAUUUUUGUCUUAUUUAAGCAAGGGGAAAUCCAGGAUGGAAUAAUGACAAUAUUAUGAAAAGGAUAGUUGAUACUCACCAUACAGAGGAGAUGCUGAGUUGCAGGUAGGCACAACAAAAAGACUGUCAAAUAAAUAAGCUUUUGGCCAAAAAGGCUUUUUAUCGGAAUUAAACACACACACACAUCAUGACCAUUGUCUGUGGCUACCGAGGCCAGACUCACUGUUAUUAUUGCUUACUCGUAAACUAAUUAUGAACUGGUCUGCCAUCAACAUGACAAUGGCUUCACUAUAUGAUAAUCAGUAUUACUGGUUUCAAGGUGCACAACAGCAUGAUUAUCAGCACCCUUGCAGAAUAUGAAUGUAUAAAUUUAGCAAUCUUCGUGGGUAAGCCAGUAUGGCUUCGACAGCCGGAGACUGUGGUCGCGUCUGUGAAUUGCAUUUAUUGUGUGUGUGUGUGUGUGUGUGUGUGUGUGUGUAUUUGUAAUUCCAAUGAAGGCCAUUUUUGCCAAAAGCUUAUUUAUUUGACAGUCUUUUUUGUUGUGCUUAUCUGUGACAGCAUCUCAGAAUGCUAUAUGGUGAGUACCAACUAUCCUUUUCAUUAUAUUAUCUUGUCUUAUUUAGUAGUUUAUAUCUUGACUGAUACAUAGUUUUAUUAAAGUAAGAGGGAAGUGCAUGAAUGUGUAUGAAGACGUGCUAGCACCCAUGAGUAAUUCUUAGUAUUCUUUUUAUUAUAUAGAUAAUCAGUUGCUUUGUGUAUUGUCAUUGACAGACAGUUGUUGAAGUGUCAUAUCUAUAUCUACAUCUACAUAUGUAUAUGUGGUACCAUGGGCAUUUAUCCAAGAAGACCGCUUAAAUCGUGCAGUCAUAUUUGGCAAGGGUGCUGAUAACGAUGCUGUUGAACACCUAAAAAUCAGUAUCAGUAACUUAAUUACCGUAUAGUGAAAGUAUUGCCAUGACAAUGACAAACCAGUUCACUAUUAGUUUAUAGGUAAGCAGUAAUAACAACAGUGAGUGUAACGGUAGUAGCAACAGUGAUGCUGAAGUGUUUCAGAAGGCAUUGACAAAACCAUCAUGAGAUGUGUUGCUGACAGGAAUGGAAACCAGUUCCUAUAGCCACAAGUUAACAAGUGUGUGCCAUUUGACGCAGCUCUGUUUUUAAAGUGGGUGAUGAAAGGGGUACUUGCCUGCCUGCCCCUGUUCACUUCCUCAUGGGCAUAUCACAGCUUAUGCUACACAUUUCUGCUUAUAACACCAAUGAUAUUCCACUAGAAGUAGUGUGUGAGAAGAUGAAAAUGAUUGAGCAUUGUUCAUUAGUGUGUGCUUAUAAAAUUAAUGUACAAAUAAAAAAUUAAAGGUGUAGAUAGUCAAAUGAGAAAUACUUCUGGCCACAAACUAAAAACAAACUAUAGCAAUACUAUUAGUAAAUGGAAACCUCUGAUCAAAUUGCCACCUACAUUGUCAGAAAAAAGUUGGCAUUCUUCCAGUACUACAGACUUCAGUAAUAUUGUUGCAAAGGUCUUACGUAAAUACACUGUAUAAGAAACACAAAUACAACUGCAUCAACAGCAAAAGUAUUACAUACAUCAGCAGAAAUAACCAACAUUUGAAAAUAUAAUAUGUUUAGAUAAAAAAUCUACUCACCUAAUGGUGGUAGGUCAAAAUGCAUGUGAAAGAUACAGAAAUGCUCAAGCUUUUGGAGCCAGUAGUAUAUAUAGUAACUCUUUCCAUUGUAGCAAUUUGCUGCUAUAGUUCUGGAUUUUUACUUACAUUCAUUAGAGCAUUUAGAUAAUAGUGUGUUCUUAGAGCAACAGUUAAAAGUAGUAGAGUGCCAACAUUAGAGAAAAAAACCACUUCACUUCUUUAAAGAGCUACUUAUUACUUGUACUUCUUAAUGUUAAGUUUAAAAUUAAUUUCACUGUUAUAAUUGUGAACUAGAAAAUAAUAUUGUGCAAUGAAAACUAUAGAUUGGUGAUUAGAUUAAGACAUUAGCUUCACUACAUGAUUAGCUUUAACACAUUAAUUCUAAUCUCUUGUAAUAUUUGGAUGAUGAUAAAUAAAUUACAAAUUCAAAGUUA